AUUGAACGCUGGCGGCAGGCCUAACACAUGCAAGUCGAGCGGAUGACGGGAGCUUGCUCCUGAAUUCAGCGGCGGACGGGUGAGUAAUGCCUAGGAAUCUGCCUGGUAGUGGGGGACAACGUUUCGAAAGGAACGCUAAUACCGCAUACGUCCUACGGGAGAAAGCAGGGGACCUUCGUGCCUUGCGCUAUCAGAUGAGACUAGGUCGGAUUAGCUAGUUGGUGAGGUAAUGGCUCACCAAGGCGACGAUCCGUAACUGGUCUGAGAGGAUGAUCAGUCACACUGGAACUGAGACACGGUCCAGACUCCUACGGGAGGCAGCAGUGGGGAAUAUUGGACAAUGGGCGAAAGCCUGAUCCAGCCAUGCCGCGUGUGUGAAGUAGGUCUUCGGAUUGUAAAGCACUUUAAGUUGGGAGGAAGGGCAGUAAGCGAAUACAUUGCUGUUUUGACGUUACCGACAGAAUAAGCACCGGCUAACUCUGUGCCAGCCGCCGCGGUAACAC
rnacentral:rRNA from 1 species